rnacentral:rRNA from 1 species
UGCGUAGGCGGACUAAUAAGUCAGUGGUGAAAUCUUUCGGCUCAACCGGGAAACUGCCAUUGAUACUGUUAGUCUUGAGUUCGGUUGAGGUAGGCGGAAUGUGUAAUGUAGCGGUGAAAUGCUUAGAUAUUACACAGAACACCAAUUGCGUAGGCAGCUUACUAGACCGACACUGACGCUGAGGCACGAAAGCGUGGGGAGCGAACAGGAUUAGAUACCAUGGUAGUCC